CGUCCUAUUAAGUUCAGGGGGUGAAAUACCGUGCUCCAUCAUCGCAGUGCUUGAUACUGAUUGGCUGAAUCCAUUGAAGUGGCCGAAUAGACCAAGUAGCCGGUGAAAUGCAUAGAUAUGUCUUAGAACUCCGAUUGCGAAGGGCAGCUCACUAAGCUGGUAUUGACGCUGAUGCCCGAAAGCGUGGGGAUCGAACAGGAUUAGAUACCCUGGUAGUCCACGCCCUAAACGAUGAUAACUCGAUGUUGGCGAUAGACAGCCAGCGUCCCAGCGAAAGCGUUAAGUUAUUCACCUUGGGAGUACGCCCGCCAGGGUGAAACUCAAAGGAAUUGACGGGGGCCCGCACAAGCGGAGGAGCAUGUGGUUUAAUUUGAUGAUUCGCGAGGAACCUUACCCGGGCUUGAAAGUUAGUGAAGAGUGCAGAGACGCCCUCGUCCUUCGGGACCCGAAACUAGGUGCUGCAUGGCUGUCGUCAGCUCGUGCCGUGAGGUGUUGGGUUAAGUUCCGCAACGAGCGCAACCCCUAUGUUUAGUUGCCAGCAUGUAAUGGUGGGGACUCUAAACAGACUGCCUGUGCAAACAGAGAGGAAGGUGGGGACGACGUCAAGUCAUCAUGGCCCUUACGUCCGGGGCUACACACGUGCUACAAUGGAUGGUACAGCGGGCAGCUACAUAGCAAUAUGAUGCUAAUCUCUAAAAGCCAUUCACAGUUCGGAUUGGGGUCUGCAACUCGACCCCAUGAAGUUGGAUUCGCUAGUAAUCGCGUAUCAGCAAUGACGCGGUGAAUACGUUCCCGGGCCUUGUACACACCGCCCGUCAAGCCAUGAAAGUUGGGGGUACCUAAAGCAUGUUACCGCGAGGAGCGUAUAGGUAAACCCCAAUA
rnacentral:rRNA from 1 species